GCCUUCAUGGUGUAAUGGUAACACAUUCGGUGCAUAUUUGAGCAAUCCAGGUUCAAGUCCUGGUGAAGGCA
rnacentral:tRNA from 1 species